rnacentral:lncRNA from 10 species
CCCACUCUCCCCAACAUACAAACGUAUGCCUCCAAGUCCCUUGGGGUGGUGUUGCGGGUCCAUAUGGUGGCUGUACAGACAGUGGGUUGCAGCACAGCUGAAGAACUGACCUGGCAUCUUUUCAGCAAGCAGUGAACACACGAGUCCCCCUACUCCAGGGAUGGGCAGUUGCAUGGCAGUCAUGCUCAGGUGCCCUGAUCUACUUAGUGGCCUAUGUGAAUAGUUACAGGACCUGCUCACUGUUACAGGAUGAUAAGCCUUGAAGUUUGGCACACUUAGCAAGGACUGACAGGAACACUCAGCACCCAUGGCAGACUACCUUUCCUAACAGAGACAUAGAGAUUCUGCGAGGUCUAACUCACAUAUACUUGUAUUCCAAGGAUACAAGUGGAGGACAGAAAUGAGGCAGAAGUGAUAAGUUGAAGAGCACGGCCAAGAAUUUUCCAAAACAGUGGAGAAACCUGGCAGACAUCAUCUUAGCCAAGUGGUAAACAUUAACAUCAGCAGUAAUGGGACAAGUUGACAUUGUGUGACUCCUAAUAUGGUACACUGAGAAGAAUGUCGCAUCGUUUCUGUGGUAUUCCUGCCAGAGAUGCAUAAAUCAUGAGGACACAGCAGACAAAUCCAAACUGAAGACAACCUACAAAGUCAUUGACCUGUAUUUUUCAAAAAUCUUGGCCAGAGAAGGGAAGCCUGAAGAAUUGUUCUAGAAUAAAUUAGACUGAAGAGACUCCUUGAAGGCGACUGAAUUGGAUGCUGGGCCUGUAAAGUGCUCCCCGUUGGUCAAGCCCAAUCAGAAGGUGGAGAGUAGGAAAUCCAUUUCCUGCAGCUUAUAAAGGUUGGCUUCCAGGAACACAGAACAAGAUGGAGAAGAAUAAAUAAUGGAUCUGGAGGAGAAAACAGAGAACACUAGAGUAGUAUUAAAUCUGGAAGAAAAAUUAUUGGAUUGUCUAAUAAAUUUUACAAAAAAUGUAGUUAUUUGAUAACAAAAGUAAACCAUAUAAUGAACUUUUAAAUUUUUCCAAGGUAUUAUUGACUCCUGAAACUUGGCCAGAUGGUGCCUGCAAAAUUCUAUGGGUUCAGGUAAAAAAAGAUUACUACAAUUAAGCAAAUUAAUUAAAUAUGACAUUCAAAUUAAUCAUCUUGGCCAGGCACAAUGACUCACACCUAUAAUCCCAGCACUUUGGGAGGCUGAGGCAGGAGGAUCGCUUGAGCCUAGGGUUUGAGACCAGACUGGGCAAUAGAGUGAGACCUCAUAUCUACAAAAAGUUUAAAAAUUAGCUGAGUGUGCUGGUGCAUGCCUGUGAUUCAGGACUCAGGUGAUGCCACCUCCUCAGAGGACCUUCCCUGAGCAACCCAUCUGGAGUAGAACCCCCACCUCAAGCUGGGCGUGGUGACUCAGGCCUGUAAUCCCAGCACUUUGGGAGCCAAAAGCAGGCAGAUCACUUGAGGUUAAGAGUUCGAGGCCAGCCUGGCCAACAUGGUGAAACCCGGUCUCUCCUAAAAAUACAAAAAUUAACUGGGUGUGGUGACGUGUGCCUGUAGUCUCAGCAACUCAGGAGGGUGCGGCAGAAGAAUUGCUUAAACCCGGGAGGCAGAGGUUGCAGUGACCCAAGAUUGCACCACCGCACUCUAGCACUCUGUUGCACUCCAGGCAACAGAGCAAGACCCCAUUUAAAAAAAAAAAAAAUCUUCAGAGCAAUGGAAAGGUAUCAAAGGAUUGCUUGUUGGGGAGAAGUAUAACCUUAUUUGCAUUUGAAAACAAGUACCCCUGCAACCAUCUCCUAACUCCUCUCCCCCCACACAGUCUCAUCUCCUGCCAAUGAAUAGUGCAAAGUUCCAGAGAAGCCUGGAGGGAUGGAAUUCUGAGCACAGAAGGAACAUCUUUCAGCAGUGAGAAGGAAAGGAGGAUUAGGCAGCUAUAACAUUAGGUGAUCUGCUGAGAGCGAGGAGCUAGAAGGGAAGCUUGAAGUCUGAGGACAGUGCAACUAAACAUCAAAAUGCACUGGAAUUGUCUAACGGCAUUGAGGUUGGUGACUGAAUUUAUAGUGUUACUUACACCCCCAGUAGUUCUUAAAAAAUGCUUCCUGGCCUGGCUGUAAGCAUAAAGGAGAGGCAUAGUUAGGUUCACCUAGAGUUUGGAGGGUUUGUUUUGUUUUGUUUCUUGAAACAGAGUCAGGCUGGGCACGGUUGCUCAUGCCUGUAAUCCCAGCACUUUGGGAGGCCGAGGCGGGCGGAUCAUGAGGUCAGGAGAUCGAGAGCAUCCUGGCUAAUGCAGUGAAACCCCGUCUGUAAUAAAAAUACAAAAAAUUAGCCGGGCGAGGUGGCGGGUGCCUGUAGUCCCAGCUACUCCGGAGGCUGAGGCAGGAGAAUGGCGUGAACCUGGGAGGCGGAGCUUGCAGUGAACCGAAAUCGCACCACUGCAUUCCAGUCUGGGUGACAGAGCAAGACCCCGUCUCAAAAAAAAAAAAAAAAAAAUAGAAACAGUCUCGCUCUGUUGUCCAGGCUGGAAUGCAGUGGUGCAAUCAUAGCUCACUGCAGCCUCGAUCUCCAGGGCUCCAGAAAUCCUCCCACCUCAGCCUCCUGAGUAGCUGGGACUACAGGUUCACACCACUAUACCUGGCUAUUUUUUUUUUCCCCAGUACAGUCAAGGUCUCUUUGUGUUGCUCAGGCGGCCUCGAACUCCUGAGUUCAAGUGAUCCUCCCGCGUUGGCCUCGGUGCUGGGAUUACAGGCGUGAGCCACCAUGCCUGAACAUGUUUGGAGUUUUGAUAGGUUGGUGCUGAGGACAAAGGGAGAGCCAAGGAUUUUAGGAUGUUUGCAAGGAAGUGAUUGAAAUGAUGGAACAUGACAUUUAAGCUGGUUAAAGAGGAAAAUGGAGGCAGAAAUGAGUUGAUGGAUAGGCAGAAAUUGAAGGAGGUCUUGAGGAGGCCUAGAAAGAGAAGUGGCUUGAUUGGUGGAGCAAGCAAGCAGGAAAGACAUGAAUUUGUGGGCCCAACGGUAGUCCGGGGCUUUGACUAGUUGCAGAGGGUUGUCAGGGACAUCGGGGCACGGUGAAGUGGGGAAGGACGGCAUUGUGAUGGGGAGAUAAGGAACUGAAAAGCCGGGGGUAGGAGGGGCAGAGCCAUGGACAAUGGUCCUGGACCUUUCUUUGUAGAUUAAAACUUUUCAGAUGAUCUUGGCAGCACUUGUGUGGGGAAUGUGUGGAAGAACAAGAUUUCACGUUUUGUUUAUAUUAAAAUUUUGGAGACUCAUGUUCACCCUGGAGUGGACACUUUUUUUUUUUUUUUUUUGAGACAGGCCCUUGCCCAGGUUGGCGUGCAAUGGCGCGAUCUCGGCUCACUGCAACCUCGGCCUCCCGGGUUCAAGUGAUUCUCCUGCCUCAGCCUCUCAAGUAGCUGGGAUUACAGAUGUGCACUACCACGCCCAGCUAAUUUUUGUAUUAUUAGUAGAGAUGGAGUUUCACCAUGUUGGCCAGGCUGGUCUCAAACUCCUGACCUCAGGUGAUC